UUUGAUCCCUGGAAAUCCUGGAGUGCUUCCCGAGGGGCUGGGAACACCUUCAAGCCACAACGAGCAGGAAUCGCCUCGCCCCGCUGGACACGGGUCCUGCUCCUCGCCAGCCCGCAGGAAUUGUGGAAACCUGGAGGGGACUCGGAGCAGCCCGGGCUGCCAGGAACAGAAACCCUCCAGCGUUUCACCUGCAAGGGAAGCCACGGGGAAAAUCUUCCAGCAGGGCUUUUGGCGAGCGCUCGGAACAUCUGGCACAGCUGCUCCUGUGAGCCCCGGGCAGCAGCAGCGCAGCCCCGCUCCUGCUCCCGUUCCAAAGGGAGCCGACACCGCCGGGAAUGGGGCAGCGCUGCCCCGGGAAUGGGACACGGGGAUGGGCAGGAUCCAGAGGGAUCCCGUUGUCCCGGGGACAGAACGGCUGCAGUGGGGCAAAGCAGCAGGCACAGCUUCUGGAG